UUGCGACCCCAGGUCAGGCGGGACUACCCGC
rnacentral:rRNA from 1 species